GGAUGCGAUCAUACCAGCACUAAAGCACCGGAUCCCAUCAGAACUCCGAAGUUAAGCGUGCUUGGGCGAGAGUAGUACUAGGAUGGGUCCUUUUUGUCUCUCUCUCCCCCCUUUUGACUCGCGCCGCUGCGUCCAUCGUGUUGUGUCGCCCCUUGGGCGGCGAAGCUGGGGAGAAUCGGAUGUAACAUUUUCUGUAGAUGUCCGUGGAUAUAUCAUUUGCCUGAUUCCGAGUCCGUAUGAGAAAGUUACGCCUAUUUUAAGAAAUGACACCCGAAUGACGCCAAAGCAUGUC
rnacentral:rRNA from 1 species